GUCUCAGGAGCAUAGUGGUUAGUGCACAGCCCCGGGUAGGCUGAGAGGCGGGUUCGAAUCCGGCAUGAGAUG
rfam:Nippostrongylus brasiliensis genome assembly, scaffold: NBR_scaffold0001743